rnacentral:lncRNA from 1 species
AUUUUCAAUCUAGAACCAAAUCUAAAUUUGGUCAUUUACCACCUAUAAUAAAUAAUAUAAAUAGAACAUGAGAUCAAAUAGUUCAUUCAUCAUUUCAGAAAGAAAGUUUAGAAAUUAAAAGUGAAAUCCCCAUGGCUUCUCGCACCUAUCAAGCUUUCCUCAUUGGAAUUCUAUGCAUUGCUUUGAUCCUAACCUCUGGUAAAAAAUAAAGCUUUAGCUUCGUCUUAUUUUAAAUUAAAACUUGUUAACAUUUCAAUAAAUGUCAUCGUUGUCAUAAUAGCUUCCUCUUAGAUGAUUAAAAGUUAGUGAUAAUCCUUACUUUUAUGAAUUUCAUGUGGUUUGUUUUUAUAAACUCGUUGGUGGUAUAUAUAUUUUGUAUGAAAAGAAAUAAUAGUUUAUAUUAGACAUAUAGUACUUAAUAUAAGGAUAUGCAACAAUUUCAUUAGAUGAAUGCAUCAAUGUAAUAAAUAUGUUAAUGUAAUAUUUACUGCUGCAGGACCAACAAUAGUAAAAGCAAGGGAGAAUUUCGGCACUCUACUUGCAUGUUCUGCUGACAACAUAUGCUACAAAGCAUGUCUUGGCGAAGGCUUUAAGAAAGGGGGAAGAUGUGUAGAUGGUAAUUGUUACUGUACAAUAGAUUAGUCUGAUUGUUGAUGUAAAAUGACAACAAUACAAUAAAAGUGAGAAUUAAAUAUCUUUGUUUUAUUUAAUAAUAUACAUGUUGUAAUGGACUUGAAUUGAUUUUCAAUCCUAUGUGAUAUAAAAU